rnacentral:rRNA from 1 species
UACGGAGGGUGCAAGCGUUAUCCGGAUUCACUGGGUUUAAAGGGUGCGUAGGCGGUCGGGUAAGUCUGAUGUGAAAUCUCACAGCUUAACUGUGAAACUGCAUUGGAUACUAUCCGGCUCGAGGAAUGGAGGGGAGACUGGAAUACUUGGUGUAGCAGUGAAAUGCGUAGAUAUCAAGUGGAACACCAGUGGCGAAGGCGAGUCUCUGGACAUUUCCUGACGCUGAGGCACGAAAGCCAGGGGAGCAAACGGG